GGCUAUGGCUCAGUGGAAGAGCUUCUCUUUUGCAUGCAGAUGGUCCCAGGUUUACUCCCUGGCAUCUCCA
rnacentral:tRNA from 1 species